rnacentral:rRNA from 1 species
GACGAACGCUGGCGGCGUGCUUAACACAUGCAAGUCGAACGAAGAGCGACGGAAGCUUGCUUCUAUCAAUCUUAGUGGCGAACGGGUGAGUAACGCGUAAUCAACCUGCCCUUCAGAGGGGGACAACAGUUGGAAACGACUGCUAAUACCGCAUACGAUCUAAUCUCGGCAUCGAGGAUGGAUGAAAGGUUGCCUCUACAUGUAAGCUAUCACUGAAGGAGGGGAUUGCGUCUGAUUAGCUAGUUGGAGGGGUAACGGCCCACCAAGGCGAUGAUCAGUAGCCGGUCUGAGAGGAUGAACGGCCACAUUGGGACUGAGACACGGCCCAGACUCCUACGGGAGGCAGCAGUGGGGAAUCUUCCGCAAUGGACGAAAGUCUGACGGAGCAACGCCGCGUGAGUGAUGACGGCCUUCGGGUUGUAAAGCUCUGUUAAUCGGGACGAAAGGCCUUCUUGCGAAUAGUGAGAAGGAUUGACGGUACCGGAAUAGAAAGCCACGGCUAACUACGUG